AUGUUUAUAAAAUAUGUAAAAACUUAAUUUUACUUAACUCUACAAAAAAUAUUAAGAGAGAAAAUAAAGGCCAAUUAAAAACUGGAAAUUAGUCUUUUAUUAUAAAAGCAUGUAAUAAUUAAUAUAUACUUCCGAACACAUAGAGUGGAAUUCUGUACGAUACGCGUCAUAAUUUCGAGCCAGUACUGUUCCCUCGACUGAUGACACGCAGUUAAAAAUAAAGAAAUUAAGAAACGAGAAAAGCAGGAAAGACAAUAGGAACGAACGCCAGAGUCAGCGUACUAAAGUGCAAAACUGCGUCGGCUCUGUAUGUAACGGAAUCACGCUAGAAGAAUGAGAAAUGUGUGUGUGUAUGUGUGCGUGCGUGCGUGUGAACGAGGAUCAGCGAUAUGUAUAUUAAUUUCGCGUGUGCGUGUUCCGAUUUCGCGCACGAUUACAUAUAACGUGCGAUCACGCGCGGACAGGACUUCUAUUUGUCGCGUGUAUACAACGAGCGAACGCGUUGAAGCGGGACGAUUUACUGGAACGGUCCGCGUACGCACUAAAAGCAAACGAGAAGAGCCUUCGCAAACGGUGAUGUUAGACAUAUAUGAUUUUGUAGCUACGUAGAAUUAUUAACGCGCCUAAGGCGGACGGCCGAUAUAUCGAGGUCAAGAUUCAAGUCUCGCCGAUCUGCGAAAGUUGCACCGCGCUUUUUAGCACAAAAACGGACGGAAAAAUUUAAGAAAAAAUACAAAAAGUGUUUUCUCUAAAUUACAUUUUAGAAACAUAUAAAAUGUACGCCGUCUCAUGAUGUUGCUUCAGGACUUGCGGUUGUGUUAGUUCAGGUUUUGUAUAUCGUUAAAAUAGAACAUCACAAAAAAAGACAAAUUCGCUAUGAACAAUCAGUAUUAAGCUGGGGUGCCGUGUACACGGAGCGAGCGAAUAACGAACAAACGCGGAGAAUUGAAUUCCAAUCGCAUUGAUCUAUUCGGCCAGUUGACUAAUCAAAUGUUCGCAUUCGCUGUUCGUGCGCUGUUCGUUGUGAAGAUCGUUAGAUUUUCGUAUUCCGUUUGAUGAUAUCUGAUCACGAUGAGACAAAAGUUGUCGUCGUGCGCUACAUCGGGUGUCCAACAAUGUGCCCAUCAUUGUACGAUGCGAGACAACGGUAUAUCUCGGAUCCGUCUUCUGAUCCUGUCGGUGUCAGUAUCAAUGUCAAGCUACUGUCGCUGUUCGGGAUGGUUCACGGCAUAAAUUAGUUUAUAAAUAAAUAUGAUAUUGUUGCGCGUGGUAUGUGAUGUGUGUGUGUGUGUGUGUGUGUGUGCGGAUGCGUGCGUGCAUGAGUGCGUGCGUAUCGUGAGUAAAACGAUACGUGUAAUAAUUUCUACGUGAUACAGUACAUAUACGCAUGGGACGACGAAUGACACACGAAUCCCUGUACAGAAUCCUUGUACAUAUUCGACGAUUGUGAUUAAUGAUUAAAUAACGUCGCCGUUUUUAACGUGCGGCAGACUCGGACUCUUUAAAUAUACCUAAUGUAAAGUACAACCCCGUGCACAAUCGAAACAAAACUAUUUCUCUACUUUAAUUAAAAACGACACAUAACGCGCGGAGAUCAAUGUAGAGGCGUGUAUGAAUAUUUCGUCAUUCCUAAUAUUGGUUAAAUGUCGAUUUUUCAGUGUACUAAGAACGGGACGUCUUUUAACACACAUCAACACUCGCGUUGCACAAAAUUACGAAUUUACAAUCUUGUCGAAGCAUAUAUUUGAUUAGUCGAUGAAUAAUUAGCCGAUCAUGUAAAGUGUAACAAGAUGAAAAACAGAUUUCAGAAUUUCUCUGCUUUCGAUUGAUCUUCGCACACACACCAAUUAGCCGAUUUGAAAUUUUUGUCGACAGACAGACGAGUGCGAAUUAUAAUUAAAUGCAAUCAACGAAGUGAAUAAAUUUGUGAAAUUACACACAAGGUCCUUUAUAUUCUGUGUCCCCGAUGUAAGAUAUUAUUCGAUAUCGAGAUUUUCUGAUUUCCGAGAAAAGCACGUAGCUAUGUUUUAUUUACGCUUGGUGACGUUUAAAUUGUACUCUCGCAAUUCUCGUCUCGCUGACGGAUAUACGGCAAACGGACAAAAAACAAUUUGAUUAAUGCAUUAUUAUGUAUGUAAGAAAAGAUAUGUCACGUAAUUAAUAAUGACGUAUCCGAAAAUUUCUCGAGAAAAUAAAAUAUGGAUCUAAUUCCACAUCGCAUUCCCCGCCGCUGCAUUUUUAGCAAUAAUAAUAAUUAGUGACAACAACACACAGUUUACGUCAUGAUUUUUCUUUAUUGUCUCGCAUCAAAGCUGGAUUUUCCCGAAUCUUUCUCGGUAUGUGAUGAAGAUUUACAUGUGUGUGUGUGUGUGUGUGUGUGUGUGUGACAAAAGAAAAUAAAAGCGGUUCUUUUUUUUUUAAAUGAAUCUUACGCGGUUUUUUGUAAAACAUUCUGUUAUGUGUCGAAAUUUGCAAUUGAGUGACUCGUACAUUAGAGGAUGUACAAUGCAAACAGCAAUUAUACUCAAUGAGUCGGUGAACAAAAUGUUAUUCGUCCAGUCAACGUAUAGAUAACCGUUAAUUUUUUUUUUUUUUUUUUUUUACUUUGACCGAUGAAACAAGCAUUACAUCGCACGCGAAUAACGCGAUUACAGUUUCGUCGUGAAAGAGUUGGAGAUGAAGACAGAGAUAGUUGUUUAUCAGUUGGCACGCACACGAACGUACACAUGUACAUAUGUUUUAGUUGUCGUUUCAGCGAGACAAUUUGUCGCUAGUAUCGAAUCUGCGAGAUUAUCAUCUUGACAUUCACUAAUCCCGGAAGGAAGAAGGAGACUCUCGAGAGAAGAAGAAAAAAAUCCUUAAAGAACAUUUUCCUUUCUUUCUUCUACUCUUAGAAGGUCAUCUCGCGCGUGCGGUUCGAAAUUCUCGGGAGAGACCACACGAUGUCGCGCAUGCAGUGUGUGUGUGAUAAUGAAAUAAAAAAACAAUGAACAAUCAAUCAUCAAAUCUGAAUGCUUUUAAAGAGCGAACGUAUUUGUACAAUAAUAAGAUUUGUAUCGCGCUCACGAUAAUUUUUCCAAAUUAAUUAAUUUAAACCUUACAUAUACCUACAUACUCUACAAAUACACGAGAUGUAAAAAAUAAUGUACAAAAAAUGUACAAUAUAUAAGUCAUAUGUCACAAUUUACAAUCGCAACAAAUCGUUUUAUUAAAACUCUAAUAACAAAAAAAAAAAAAAAAGAAUUUAUUUUGGUGUUAAAUUAUUUAUCUAACAUUUCAAUGCUAACAGCCUUCCUUUAUACGCAGAAUAUUAUAAAACACGUAUUGCUACGCGUUGACUCUUGAACAGAGAUGAUUGUGCUUACCAAGCGCGCAGAUUGAAACCGAAUACAUUCGUUCGGUCAUAAAACUAUAACGCUCUCACCGGAAUGGUGUGAUGUCCGUGGAGUAAAAUGCUGCAAUUCUUAAGCGAAUGAACAAAUCGUAAAAUUAUAAAAUUGUUGCUUACGAAGCAAACAUAAAAAUCUGAGUUAGUUUUUAUGUAAACUGCAAUCUUGCACUAAUGUGAGACAAAGGCAAGGAUUGUAGUUUUAGUCGUAAGUUCUUACGAGAGUUUGAAAAAUCUUAUAAUUUUUUUGUCAGGAGAAUUGCAGCAUUAUCUCUAUCUUUUCCGAUGAAAGGUUUCCAACUCCAAAAAAAAAAAAAAAAAAAAAAA